GAUGAACGCUAGCGGGAGGCCUAACACAUGCAAGCCGAGCGGUAUUGUUUCUUCGGAAAUGAGAGAGCGGCGUACGGGUGCGGAACACGUGUGCAACCUGCCUUUAUCUGGGGGAUAGCCUUUCGAAAGGAAGAUUAAUACUCCAUAAUAUAUUGAACGGCAUCGUUUAAUAUUGAAAGCUCCGGCGGAUAGAGAUGGGCACGCGCAAGAUUAGCUAGUUGGUGAGGUAACGGCUCACCAAGGCGAUGAUCUUUAGGGGGCCUGAGAGGGUGAUCCCCCACACUGGUACUGAGACACGGACCAGACUCCUACGGGAGGCAGCAGUGAGGAAUAUUGGUCAAUGGGUGCAAGCCUGAACCAGCCAUCCCGGUGAAGGACGACUGCCCUAUGGGUUGUAAACUUCUUUUGUAUAGGGGUAAACCUACCUCGUGAGGGUAGCUGAAGGUACUAUACG
rnacentral:rRNA from 1 species